rnacentral:lncRNA from 1 species
CGACGCAAAUUAGCCAACGCGAUAGGCAACGAACCAUGAAAACUGUUGUUUCCAAUGUCAAGGAAAGCAACAAAAGACAGAUUUCCCAUGUCUGGUGGUAUGGUGCCAAAGAGGUUCAUGCCAAAUAGAUUCAAAGAAGUGACUCUGUGGUGUCGAGAUCCGCAAGUGACACCAACCCAAUUGCAAAUAGAGGUAGCAGUUGACCAGUUGGUAGCCAGAAGAUCACUGUUGACACGGGCUUUUAGUGCAAGAAGAGCCAACUGGUCUGUGCUGAUGUUGGUUGUUGCGGAUUUGAUAGAGAAUGAAACCCCAAAAUUAGGCAGCACCACCACCACCACCACCACCAUAAGAGCCACAAUGAACCGAGUGUUUCCCAUGACGCUAUGUAGAAGUGGAGCUUGUGAAAGGAACAUUUUGAAUUAUAUGUGGAAAAGAUGAUGUUUCUUUUUCAAUAUAUAUAGAAAUUGUCAAAAUUGUGGUAGGACAUAUUUCCACUUGCACCCUUCCACAGUGAGAAAAUUUACCACUUGCAUAUUGGAGAGAAUUCUUAGAGAGCAAUGUUAUCAUUUCUUACUCAUUUUUAUUGACAUAUCUAAAGGUCAAAAACAAGUGUUCUUAUUUAUAAAAUUUAUUACAAUAUCAAAUUACAUAAGCAAAAGUAACUCUCUUCCUUUUCAUAAAUCUCAUCGUACUCUUAAACUACGAUUAAAGCCUGAGAUUUCAAGUUUAUAUUGCAUAUUUUAAUCACCGGCGUAUCGGUUCAAAUAGUAAGUAGGAAAUUCUUUCAUAGCUCUAUAACAGUGAUUCUGUCUUGAAUCUCCAGAAAAACAACAGAAUAAACUCUUUUACUAUCUUGUGAGUAUACGAGCUUUCAGUAUGUUGUAAAUAUAAGAGCUUUCAGUAAGUAUUGGCCCCUUGGACGAAUAAGCACCAAAGAAACCAGUUUAUUUGAUUAAAUGUCCAAAAAAAAUGGUACUUACGAAAUAAAACAUAACAUUUUUUAUUAUUAAUUAUUAUAUCUCUCAAAAGAAAGACAUAAAAUUGAAAAAUUAUCCACACUUUGAGGAGUGCUAAUGGUGUAGCUGAUCAAUUGGUUAAAGAUGGCAUAUAAAGGGAGAACAAUUUGUUAAACAUCAUUCUGUAAGCUUGAAGUUUGUUUCAGUUAUGAUUGUGGUAUUUUAAUGGUUUGCUAAUAAUUGAGUUCCCACAUCUAUUUUCUCUCAUUUCCCACAUCUUAUUAAUUCUCAACUAUUUAUAUCAUUUCUCUUUAAAAAUAUGUAAAAGUUAAGAUAAUUAAUAAAAUGACAUAUUCUCUCACUUCUCUAAUAAAAUGACAUAAUCUAUUUAUUGUGUUACCUCUGGUUAUUUUUAAUUGUAUUUUGCAGCUAAUGUGAAAUAUGUUUUAUGUUAUCCCCAUAUUAUGCUGCCGGUUCUGCUCCCAGUAUAUUUUUUACUACAGACAAUAACUUUUUAAGAAUUAGCUGGUUGCAGAGGAUGAUUAAUGAAUUGUGCAAAUAUGGUUAUUGACUUGACUUCAAUGGGUUUUUUUUUUUUUUAAUUGGAGGAAGGUGGAUUCGAAUUUUACUUUUUAGGUAUGAAAAUUAUACACCAACCAAUGAGCCAAAUGCUAAAGUAUUACUUAGCUUCUAUGGUUAAGCAUUCUGGUUGGGUAUUAUUAUAAGUAACAGUACUGUUUGGGAAAGUGGGUGAUUAUUUAAGCUCUUGUGGUUUUUCAUCAUUGGUUUUUGGUGGUGGGUUACUUUGUUUCCAUUUCUUAUUAGGACAGUCUAAUGGUUAAUAUGUUGGUUCAUAGCAUGUUCAUUAUUAGCUUCAUUUCUGUGAUGGGAUUACCCCUGCUUCAUUUUAAUAAUAAUAAAUAAUUUUCGAAAAAAAUAAUUAUGUAUGAAUAAAUUACAGCAAGAAAUCCACUAUAAUUCCAAACCCAUAGAAUGGAAAACUGCUAACUAGUCAAGCGUAGUGAGAUAAAGUCUUUGUCGACCACUUCAUCCGAAAUUCCAGAAGUAAGUCUUCGUUAAUCACUUCAUCCAAAAUUCUCAAAAACAAAAGCAAGUCUUCGUCAACCACUUCAUCCAAAAUUCUCAAAAAAACCAAAAGCAAUUCUUCGUCCACCACUUCAUCCAAAAUUCUCAAAAAACCGAAAGGAAGUCUUCAUCAUCGACAUCAAAUGCCUCUUCUAAGGAUAUGUUUAAUUGGGGUCAAAUCUUUCUUAUUUAUUACUCUAAAUGGACUUAAGAUCUGUAAGUUUACAACAAGAAUUUCGAAUACUAAUUUGCAAGAUUUGACUAGUUGACCCAGUUUGAUUCUAUUCUAGACUUGACUACUACUUGACCUUAACAAACGUGUAGGAACCUGUGAAAGGAAAACUUUUGAAUUACAUGUGGAAAAGAUUAUGUUUCUUUUUCAAUAUAUAUAUUGAAAUUGUCAAAAUUGUGUUAGGAUCUAUUUCCACAUGCACCCUUCCACAGUGAAAGAAAAUUUACCACUUGGCAUAUUGGAGAGAAUUCUUAAAGAGCAAUGUUACCAUUUUUUAUUCAUUUUUAUUGACAUAUCUAAAGGCCAAAAAAAAGUAUUUUUAUUUAUAAAAUUUAUUAUAAUAUCAAUUUAAUUUUUUUAUACAUAUAGUACACAAUUACAUAAGAAUUACAUAAGGAGAGGUAACUCCUAUUUCAAAUCAAAUAUUGCGUAAAGAUGGUUUGUAUAGAAGGUGGGUUUUUCUGAUCUGUUGUAAGCUUCCUUAUAGGUGGCAACGUUACUAAUUUUAGGAUAUUCUGCACUACAAAGGUAUAAUAUCUUGAAAUCAGGAUUUUACAUAUUUCCUUCAUUAAUAAAACAUCUCAUAAUUUUUUUUUAAAUGUUGGCCCAAAAAAUAAAAGAAUCCUAAGUGAGCGUUUGACUUAGUUUAUAGAAGUGAUUUUCUACUGAAAAAGCAGAAACAAUAUAUUUCGUUGUCAAAAUUUUAAAAUUUUUGGUUUAAGUGGAAAGUUCAUUUGGUGUUUUAGAUGAAAUUAUGAAUCAAAAAUCUUUUUCAUAUUUUUGGUCAAUCAAAUUAAAACUUCUUCAAAAAUAUUAAUGUACAGUAACAAAUAUUUUAUGGAAUUUUUUUAUAAUUUUACCUUACUAUUCAAUAAUUCAUAAAACUAAGAUAUCAGGAAACAAAUGCUCAAGUGUAAACUUCUUUAAAAUUUCUUCUAGAAUAUACACGUAGGUCAGAAAUAUCUCAAAAUGGUAUUUAUAAAGUAAAAACAUAGUAUCUUUUUUUUAUGUAUGAUAUAAAUUAAAGCAGGAAAUAUAGUAUAAUUUUAAAACCAUAGAAUGGAAAACUGCCAACUAGUCAAGCAUUGUGAGCUCAAGUCUUUGAGCAAUGACUUAAUUUAGACUUGUUGACCACUUCAUCCAAAAUUCCAAAAAAAAAAAAAAAACAAGCAAGUCUUGGUCAUUCACUUCAUCCAAAUUCUAGAAAACAAAAGAAAAUCUUUGUCAACCAUAUCCCCAACAAAAUUUAUUUUAAUUAAAUGUUAUACACAUCUAACAUAAUUCUUGUGAAAAAAAAUUACAAGCUCUUUGCUUAGGUGUUUAUAUUUUACUGUCUGCCUGGACAUACUCUUAGAUUCCUUUGUUUAACAUAUUGAUUAUUAAUACAUGUUCUUUUGGACUUUUGGCCCUUUAAGGAGAAAGAACUGAAGAAUACAUGUUCUUGAUUUAUUGCAAACUACGAUUUGAAUCAUGCAGCCAGUAAUUAACAACUACUAGUGAGGCCUAAUCACAUAUUAAGCAAAAUUAAUAAUCAAUUGGAGGUAUUAAUUAUGCCAGUGAUUGCUACGCACACCAUCAACACUGAAUUUUACUUGUUGAUGUUCCAUAAUAGUGUAGGCAAUCUUCAAUAAGAAAUUCCUAGGUCGUCUCAAUGUUUCUCCAAAAAACAGAAUGUGUUGCUUGAAAUCAUUGUUGAAGCUUCUUUUACAAAUUAAAAUAACAUAGGGGAAAAUAAGUAGUAUACGUCAGAAUAAAUUGUUCUCUUUAAAAAAAAUACCAAAUAGUUAAUUUCUAAUGUUUUGAUCCUCCAUCAGAUCAUAAAAUGGUCUUAACUUCGGUCUCAUUCCCACUAUAAUUCUUCUCACAACUUUGUCAAAAUGAGUAAGUGCACCCGUCAAGCAUGGCAUCAGAAGCCUCUUCCAAGAACAUGUCUAAUUGGGGUCAAAUCUUUCUUAAUUAUUACUCUAACAUGGAUAAAAGAUCCGUAAGUUUACAACAAGAAUUUCGAAUACUAAUUUGCAAGAGGUGCCAGUUGAGUCAGUUUGAUUCUAUUCUAGAAUCGACUACAACUUGACCCCAACAAACGUGUAGGGCAAAAUGCACCAGACACGUUAGAAAAGGCAUGGGCAAUCGGACCUAACAACCGUGUUCGUAAAUAAUCUCCCACAAGGAGUAGAUUGAAGGUGGUUAAAACUAUAUGUAAAAAUCAUUGCAAACUCCUAGAUGUUUAUAUCCCAAAAAGAAAUCCAAAAAAGCGUGUUGAAUGUUCUAGUUAUAUAAUACUAUUACCUAUUAGAAAGCACACAUUUAAAUUCAAUCUGUUUCAUACAGUUGUUUUUCAAUACUAUUAUAUAGUACUAUUACCUAGUUAGACUAUAAUAUCUAGUUAAGAGUUAUAUCUAUUUAAGUAAAUUAAAUUGUGAUUCUUGGCCUCAAAAUUAGAGAUCAAAAUUCUUAUUUCAAGUUCUUAAUUUUUCAAAUUAUUACAAUGAAAGUAUGUACUACUACCAUUUUUCAAAUUAAAAAAAGAGGAUUUUAUUAGCCUAACAACCGAUAUACCAAUGAUAGUCUCUAGCUGAAGCUUCCAAAGACUCCCAUUGGCAUAAAAUUCGGCUUGGCGAAAGGAAUCUGAACAAAGAUAAGACCUUACUGCUCACAUAGUUUGACAUUGUUUUGAGUUGUUUGCAUUUUUCCCCCUUUCCAGUUCUUUAUAAUUGGAUUUCUGAAACUUGAUUCAUAAUUUCCAUCAACACUUUAACUAAAGAUCGUUUAUUAUACAAGUAUAAAUUUAAUUAACAAGUUUUUUUUUCACUUUUUUAAAUGCUUUACUUUUUUCAACCAUUUACAUUACCAACUACGUUUAAAUUGAAAAAUGAACUGAGAAGUGGAGACAUCUCUUUUUCAAGUCUUUGCAAAAUCUUUUAAAUUGUUUUAUAUUAAUGAAUUUCAAGUCAAAUCUUCUCAACUUGAAAAUUUAUGCCUGGAAUCAAAAUUAAAUUAAGGGAAUAAAAGGGAAAGUAUAUGUGUCGUGUUAGAAUGAAAAGCAUCAAGGCCGCUGCAUCCUAUCCCAUCUGAGACGUUAGUAGGAAUUGCAUAUUUUUCUUGAUUUCUCAUUUGAUGUCUACUUUUAUUUUAGGUUUAUUGGGAUCUACUAAUUAGACCCAAAUCUCAGUAGAGACACAGAACUAAUUCAUUUUAGAAUUGCAACUCAUUACUGUUUAACUCACUUGAUGUGAUAAUAAAAAUAAAAAGUUAUUGAAUAAAGGAAUUCUUUAUUGUAGAUUACAGCUAAUUCAGGCCUUCUUCAAAGAAACUUUAAGAAAUUAUAAUGAUUUUCACAUUUUGGGGUUAUCACCAGAAAGAUAAUUUUUUUCUUUUUAUUAUUUUUCAAAAAAAAGAAAGAUAUUUCAGAAGUAAGAAUUCAUGUCAAAAGCAAGCUGUGUCUGACGGGAUGGCACUUAACAGUAUUAAAGGAAAAGGUUAAAGAUGAUAGAAAGGAAAGGAAUCAGUAAAUUGAUGGAAAAGUGUAUAAGCAUGCUUUUCUCAUCCUUCCAUUGCCUUUUCAAGUUAAAAAGCACCUAAUAAAAGUUAGAAUAACAAUAUUUUUCGUCAUAAAACAAAGAAGAGAAUGUAGAUUUAAAAAUUAUUUUUAUAUACAUUGUCAAUGAAAUUUUUAUACUCUACAAUCAGAGUUAAAAAGUUGUCAUGAUUUAGAUUUAACUAUAUUAAUUUAAUUAAUAAAUUAAUAAUAAUCAAAGCAACAUAUGGAAAUAUUAUAACUUUUUUGGUCCUAAAUAGUAGAGUUCGAGUCUCCCUUCUCUUAAUUAUAUAAAAAAAGUCAUUUCAAGUCUUCGUGAUUUGUGCUCUUUGAACUUUUUUAAGUCUUUUGUUUAGCACAAUAUCUUUUAAACAUUCAAGCUAAAUCUUUUUUAGGUAUUUUUUAUUGGCAAAGGAGCAAAACAAGUUUUUAACAAUCACAAUUGAAAAGUCAAAUGAAUAUUUUAAUGAUUCAAACUUGAGAUGCAAUUAAAUUUUUAUAAAUUAAUACUUUUGAGAUCAUAAAAAAAUAUUAUUAAAUUGAAAUAUUAUUUUAUCAUUAAAUUAAUAAUUUAUUAAUUUAUAUAAUAAUUAAAUUUUUUAUGCUUAAUUGUCGUAAAAAUUAGUCAUUCGGCAUCAGCCUUGAUACUGGAGCCUGUUUCACCCAAAAGUUCACUUAAAGCAACAAUCACAUUACAUAAUUUGUAUAUACCUAUUUAUGUAUAUUAAAUUGUGGUUCUUGGCCCCCAAAUUAGAGAUCAAAAUUCUUAUUUCAAAUUAUUAUAAUAAAAGUAUGUGCUACUACCUUUUUCAUCAAAUUUUUAAUUUUCAAUAUCUAAAUAAACAAAAGGUUACAACUGUUUUGAGUUGUUUGUAUUUUUUCCCUUUUCAUUUCUUUAAUAUUAUUUUUUCAUUCAUUACUUAUCAUUCGAAAAUAUAGAAUAUAAAUAAUAAUAAUUGGAUUUCUGGACCUUGAUUCAUAGUUUCCAUCAACACUUUAGCUAUAAAACCGUUUAUUAUACAAGUACAAAUUUAAUUAACAAGUUCUUUACACUUUGUUUUUUCCAUUAUUACCCAUUUUAAUUUGUUGUUUAGGAUGUUAGUAUUUGAUUGAGUAUUAAGCUCAAUAAGAUAUUUUAGAUUUUUAAAUGCUUUACUUUUUCGAACAUUGACAUUACCUAUACCACCUUUAAAUUGACAAAUGAAGUACCUGAGAAGUGGAGACAUCUCUUUUUCAAGUCUUUGCAAAAUGUUUUAAAUUGUUUUUUAUUAAUGAAAUUCAAGUCAAGUCUUCUCAACUUGAAACUUUAUGUCUAGAAUCAAAAUUAAAUUAAUGGAAUAAAAAGGAAAAGCGUAUGUGCCGUGUUAGAAAGCAAAGCAUCAAGGCCACUGUAUCCUAUCCCAUCUGAGACAGUUAGAAGGAUUUGCAUAUUUUCCUUGCUUUCUCAUUUGGUGUCUAUUUUCAUUUUAAGCUUAUCGGGAUGUGCUAAUUAGACCCAAAUUUCAGUAGAGACACAAAACUAAUUCAUCUUAAAAUCGCAACUCACCUGACAUCUCUUUUUCAAGUCUUUGCAAAAUCUUUUAAAUUGUUUUCUAUUAAUGAAUUUCAAGUCAAGUCUUCUCAACUUGAACAUUUAUGCCUGGAAUCAAAAUUAAAUUAAUGGAAUAAAAAGUAAAAGUAUAUGUGCCGUGUUAGAGUGAAAAGGAUCAAGGCCGCUAUAUCCUAUCCCACCUGAGACGUUAGUAGGAUUUGCCUAUUUUUCUUGAUUUCUCAUUUGAUGUCUACUUUUAUUUUAGGUUUAUUGGGAUACGCUAAUUAGACCCAAAUCUCAGUAAAGACACAAAACUAAUUCAUUUUAGAAUUGCAACUCAUUACUGCUUAACUCAUCACUUGAUGUGAUAAUAAAAAUUAAAAGUUAUUGAAUAAAGGAAUUCUUUUAUUAUAGAUUACAGCUAAUUCAGGCCUUCUUCAAAGAAACUUUAAGAAAUUAUAAUGAUUUUCACAUUUUGGGGUUAUCACCAGAAAGAUAACUUUUUCUUUUUAUUAUUUUUCCAAGAAAAAGAGAGAUAUUGCAAAAGUAAGAAUUCAUGUCAAAAGCAAGCCGUAUGUGACUGGAUGGCACUUAACAAUAUUAAAGGAAAAGGUUCAAGAUGAUAGAAAGGAGAGGAAUCAGUAAAUUGAUGGAAAAGUGUAUAAGCAUGCUUUUUCUCAUCCUUCCAUUGCUUUUUCAAGUAAAAAAGCACCUACUAAAAGUUAGAAUAACAAUAUUUUUCGUUACAAAAUAAAGAAGAGAAUGUAGAUUUAAAAAUUAUUUUUAUAUGCAUCGUCAAUGAAAUUUUUAAACUCUACAAUCAGAGUUAGAAAGUAGUCAUGUAUCACAUUUAACUAUAUUAAUUUAAUUAAUAAAUUAAUAUAAUAAUAAAGCAACAUAUGAAAAUAUUAUAACUUUUUUUGGUUUUAUGCUGUUUGGGGUUUAUUUUGCUUUUAUUUUACUUCUUUGUAAUUUUAAGCCUAAAGUUAUUUUGACUUUGACACAUUACAAUAAAAUUGCAUACUCAUCAGAAAAAAAAUUAAAUCUUAGAUAUGUUUCUGUAGACAUGGUUUGUGAGCAUAUAAUUUCUUAAGCAAGCUACUUGUAUUGCUAGUUUCUUCAUCCUCCAUUAGUAUUAUAGGUGAUUAUAUAGGUGCAUUACAUGUACAUAUAGUUUUAUGUGUUUAAGAAAGUAAUUCUAGAACAAAAGCCAAUACCUAUACAGAAUUCACACUAGCCAACCUGCAAUAGAUCCACAAAAGGAACAGAUCCACACUCUGUCAGCAUUCACAAGAGCUCCAACAAAGCAAUACAAAAGCAUCCCCAGAGGAUUCACACCACUAAACCAACCAUUCGUUUCACCAGUCAGUCCAGGGAAACACACAGAAGUCGCAAUAGAGGAAGAAAAACAGAAAGGGGACUUAUCUCUCAAUUAGCCGACAGCUCCCCUCACCUCUUUUCCACCGAAAAUUCUCAAUAGCUUAUUCUUUGAAUAAAAUAAAAUAAAAACUAAGGAAACCGAAAAAUGAGUAAAGUAGUGUCUUGCUAGAUAGAAAAGCAUCAACCAUGCUGUCCAGUUCACAUUUCAGUAAUGCCCUUUUUUAUGGGGGGUCGGGGUGCAACUUCAACUGUUCUUUUCAAGAAAGCACCAGCAACAUCAUAGGAUAUGAACUAGCAAUUACACAGCUUCUUAAUGUUCCAUAAUUGGUAUUCUUUUUUUUUUCUGGUUAUUCCAAACGGAAUCUGUUGCUUGAAAUUACUGUUGAAGCAUACUUUAGGUUUAGGAUACCAGCUGAGCGAAAAAUUAGUCAGAACUUGAUUUUGAAAUGCUUUGCAAUUGCUCUUGCAUCAGAUCAUAGUUAACACCAUCAUGAUUCAUGUCUCGUUCCAAGUGCAAUAUUAAGUACCUUAGUACUCCACGUAAAAGAGAGAAAGUUUUGAAGAAAGCACAAUACAAAUCAUUUCAAGUCUUCGAAAAUCAUGCAUUUAGUUCAUUGGUUAGUGCAUGAUCCUUUGCUUAAAAAGUAGGAUUCGAAUCUCCCUUCUCUUAAUUAUAAAAAAAAUCAUUUCAAGUCUCCGUGAUUUGUGCUCUUUUAACUUAUUUAAGUCUUUUGUUUAACACAAUAUCUUUUAAACAUUCAAGCCAAAUCUUUUUUAAAUAUUUUUUAUUGGCAAAGAAGUACAAUAAGUUUUUAACGAUCAUAAUUGAAAAGUCAAAUGAAUAUUUUAACAAUUCAAACUUGAGAUACAAUUAAAUAUUUAUAAAUUAAUAAUUUUGAGAUCACAAAAAUUUAUUAAUUAACUGAGAUAUCAUUUUACCACUAAAUUAAUAAUUUAUUAAUUUAAACAAUAAUUAAAAUUUUUUUAUGCUUAAUUGUUGUAUAAAUUAGUCAUUUGGCAUCAACCUUGAUAUUGAAGCCUGUUACACUCAAAAAUACACUAAAAGUAAUUAACAAUCACAUUACAUAAUUUGUGUGUACCUAUUUAUGUAUAUUAAAUUGUGGUUCUUGGCCUCAAAUUAGAGAUCAAAAUUCUUAUUUCAAAUUAUUAUAAUAAAAGUAUGUACUACUACCUUUUUCAUCAAAUUUUUAAUUUUCAAUAUCUAAAUAAACAAAAGGUUAACAUUGUUUUGAGUUGUUUGUAUUUUUUUCCCUUUUCAUUUCUUUAAUAUUAUUUCUUCAUGCAUUAAUUAUUGUUGGAAAAUAUAGAAUAUAAAUAAUAAUAAUUGGAUUUCUGCAACUUGAUUCAUAGUUUCCAUCAACACUUUAACUAUAAAACCGUUUAUUAUACAAGUACAAAUUUAAUUAACAAGUUCUUUACACUUUGUUUUUUUCCAUUAUUACCCAUUUUAAUUUGUUGUUUAGGAUGUUAGUAUUUGAUUUAGUGUCAAGCUCAAUAAGAUAUUUUAGCUUUUUAAAUGCUAUACUUUUUCGAACAUUGACAUUACCUACACUACCUUUAAAUUGAAAAAUGAAGUACCUGAGAAGUGGAGACAUCUCUUUUUCAAGUCUGUUGCAAAAUGUUUUAAAUUGUUUUAUAUUAAUGAAUUUCAAGUCAAGUCUUGUCAACUUGAAAAUAUAUGAUUGAAAUCAAAAUUAAAUUAAUGGAAUAAAAAAGAAAAGCGAAUGUGCCGUGUUAGAAUGAAAUAGCAUCAAGGCUGCAGUAUCCUACCCCAUCUGAGACGUUAGAAGGAUUUGCAUAUUUUUCUUGAUUUCUCAUUUGAUGUCUAUUUUUAUUUUAAGCUUAUCGGGAUAUGCUAAUUUGACCCAAAUCUCAGUAGAGACACAAAACUAAUUCAUCUUAAAAUCGCAACUCAUUACUGUUUAACUCACCUGACACGAUAAUAAAACUAAAAAGUUAUUGAAUAAAUGGUUUCUUUAUUGUAGAUUAUAGCUAAUUCAGGCCUUCGUCAAAGCAACUUUAAGGAAUCACAAUGAUUUUCACAUGUUGAAGUCGUCAUCAAAAAGAUAACUUUUUCUUUUUAUUUUUUUUCCAAGAAAAAGAGAGAUAGCUCAAAAGUAAGAAUUCAUGUCAAAACCAAGCCGUUUGUGAUGAAAUGGCACUUAGCAUUAUUAAGGGAAAAGCUUCAAGACGAUAGAAAGGAGAGGAACCAGGAAAUUGCUGGAAAAGUGUAUAAGCAUGUUUUUCUCAUCCUUCCAUUGCAUUUUCAAGUUAAAAAGCAACUAGUGAAAGUUAGAAUAACAAUAUUUUUCCUUAUAUUUUUGUUUUUACUAUUUAAGUCACUCGAUAAAAAAAUAAAUGAUUUAAAAAUAAAAUUUAUCAAUUUAUUCAUAAAUAUAAUAUUCAAUAUUGAAUCAAUUUAUGAUACAUCAAUGGAUGAUAUAAAACAAACAAAAAGUAAGAACAAUUUAAAAUCAAAAUUGAAUAUUAUAAAGCAAAUUUUUUUAAAAAUAAUUUUGUUAACACUAAAACCAAUAUGCCAUCUGAAGUGUCUACACAAUUGUUAAAGACUUCUGUUGAUAUAUAAUUCUAACUUAUGCAUCAUGAAAAUCCUUACGAUUGAUAAUAUUAGAGCAGCAUAUAUAAAACCAUGGAGGACCUAUUAGGAAUUAGUGGAAAAGUGAUGACAGCAAUAAAUAAUUCUAUCAUUCAUGACAAAGUUGUUAAAUGUAUCUUUUAUCAAGUCUAAAGUUACUUUUAAUGCAUUCAUACAUUUGAUUCAGUGAUUGAUGUAACUAAAUCAGAUUUCUUUUUUUUAAAUAAAAUAAAACAAAAAAAAUGUAAAAUGGGCAAAGUAAUGUCUUGUAAGAUAAAAAAGCAUCGGCCAUGCUGUCUAGUUCGCAUUUCAAAAAAGCCAUUUUUUAUGGGGGGUGGGGUACAACUUCAACUGUUCGUUUCAAGAAAGCACCAGCAACAUCACAAGAUAUGAACUAGUUUUACACAGCUUCCUAAUGUUCCAUAACUGGUAUUCUUUUUUUAUUUUUGUCUUCUUCUGGCUGUUCCAAAGCGGAAUCUGUUGCUUGAAAUUACUGUUUAAGCAUACCUUAGGAUACCAGAUGAGGGAAAAAUUAGCCAGAACUUGAUUUUGAAAUGCUUUGCAAUUGCGCCUACAUCAAAUCAUAGUUAACACCAUCUUGAUGCGUGUCUCCUUCCAACUACAUGUUGGAAUAUGCCAUAGGGUCAUUUAAAUUGAACAAGGGAUAUAUUAUCAUUUAAUGGAUACUUAAUCGCAUAAAAAUAUGUGAUAAAAGUUUUUCUUCAUGUUAGUGCAAUAAUAAGGAGUUAUUAAGUACUAAUUGGAUAAAGCCUAUGGAACAUAAAGGCCUCGUAAGAGAAUUGUAAUGUUGUUACAAUUAAGAGAUCACUAUGCAUCAAAACCAUAUUCCUAAAAUUGUUCCUGGUCAUUGUAUUGUCAAGAUAGGGCAUUGACAAUACUCAAACACUGCUACAUGUUAAGCCUCCUUACUUAGAAAGUAAGCAAUCGAUGUUAUAGAUUGAAGUAUAUGGGAUACUCAAGGAUAACAUAUGGGUGCUUGUUAACGAACAAGUUCACUGAACAUGACCUGCUAUGAUAACUCCAUUUGGUAUUUCACUCAAGUGUCUAUGGAAUAUGUUCUCAUGUGAUAAUCGUGCAAAUAGUCCUUAGACUUGAGAUACCAAGUCAUCUUGUAUGGGGAAUGACAUACUUUGAUUUCACUUCUGCUAGUCUAGAAUCAACUAGAUGCCUUUACAGUGUUUUUGGGUAUGCCAUGAAGCAUGCGAAGGUGAAUGAGUGGUCAAGAGAGGAUUCAUCACCUCAAGUGAUGUGAGGGGAUGUAUCUCACUUGUUAUGAAUUAUUGAUUAACUUGUAUAAAGUCUUUGGGCAAAGCAUGAUGAAUUUGAGGAACAUUAUUUUCCUAAGUUCAUAAAGUUAGUCAUGAAUUAUAAGAACUAAUAUGAAAUUGCAUAAGUAGACAUCGAGCCAUGCUUAAUGACAUAACUGGGAUAUUUGAUAAAAUACCAUACUACACUAAGAGUCUUAUCACUGAAGGGCUUCGUCAAAUUUUUUAAUUGACUGUCUAACAUUUGGGUGGUCAUAAUGUACUGCUAGAUGUCGCUCAUGGUAUAUAUAUAUAUCAAUUAUCAAAUUGAUAUUUGAUUAGGAUUUAUAUUUAUUGCUAACAUGUUAGAAGUCUAAUAAGUCACACACAUUAAGUGACAUGGUUGAGAUUAAAUAAGGAUAAUCAAUUAAGUUGGACUUAAUUGGAAUAGACUAAAAUAAAGUGAGAAAUUAAUUAAGUUCACAAGGACUUAAUUAAAUUAAAAUACAACUGUUGUAUCUAGGGUUACAACUUAGUUUGGCUAUAUAAAUAUGUUAUAUGUUAGCCAACUAAAACUCGAAGCCUUCAACUAUUUUUUAGCCGUUUCAUAAAAAUAAGAACAGAAAAAUAGUUUUUUUUGUUUGACAAAAAUAAGAUUCGGUAAGAAUUUUUGGUCUUUUUGUUUUAGAAACAAAACUUGCUAGCACGAAUAAAAUCCUACUUUUGAAAAGGUCUUAUUCAGUCACUGUGUGGAUUACUGUUAAAGGCCAAACAUUUGAAUGACUAAAGAUUUGACAAAUCCUAAAGAUGAAGAAGCAAAGAUUUUGACUAUAGAAUUUUAGACCAUUUUAUUUUUUUUUUUAGGUUACUUGCUUCAUCACAAGCGUAUUAGAUUUAAUUGGCUUUUGAUUAUGAUAUUUAGAGCAAGGUACAUAACUCUUAAACUUAUGAAUGUUCAUAAUUAAUUUGAAAUUACAUUAACAACACAAAUAUUGAUCUUGUAGCAUUCGACUGUUUCUCUGAUUAAAUGCUAGUUUAUUUUUUUACUGCAUUUUUAAUUUAUUGAUUGUUUUCAUGUUUGAGCAUGAGGUUGAAUCCUAGCAAUACAAUAUUAAGUCUGAGUUUAGUCUUUAUCUCGCUUGCCUUGUUGAUCUUUUGUUUUGGUUUUGGUCUAGCUGAAGUUGAGUCUAGUUUGUAUUUUCUUCGUAUUUUUUUCUGCAUAUGGGUUGCUGCUUUUUUAAGAGCUCCUACGCUGCAGAUUUUUGGCUGUUCCUUCCGGGAAAUGUUUCAUUAAUUAAUGAACUUUUACCUUUAAAAAAAAAAAGAUGUGGCUUACUAUUAAUUUGUUAUCAAAUUAAGCCAUUUUUUUUUCCAAUUUAUUAACUGUCUGUGUGAAAAUAAAAGGAGGCAUGAUUAGUACCAUCAUUCUUUCUACAACUUAUUUCAUGGAACCUUAAUUUGCAGUCACCGAGGAAACAAACAGAAAUGAAAUAUCAAACAGAGAAUGAACUUUCUAUGUAAAAUUCAAAUAAUAAAACGAUUCAACACUAACAAUUGGCCAGAAUCUCUGUUUAACAAAAAAUUUCCAAAGGAACAUAAGGAGAAUUCAAUGAUGAUCCAAACCGGGAAGUUGGCUUUAAUAAUCGGCAACCUUUAGCAGACUGGAUGGUUAGGAGACGUGGGCCGGUUCUCAUCUGCCAGAACUGUGCAUUUUUUGGUGAAGUACAUAUGUUCAGAUACUCAACCACUCACCAAAAAAUUACAGGUUUUCUUGCUAAUCGUGAGCUCUAAUAAAUGAAGAGCAAACCCAUAAAUCUGUUAGAAGUAUCUCCUGAUAGAGUAAAAAUUAGUUGCAUUGAAUCCACUCAUGAAAGGAUUCAAUUAAGAUGUUUGCUUUAUGGACGGAACAUGGUUUAGGGAAAUCUGUCAAUCCAUUCACACAAUUAUUUCCACACAAUUAGAGUAAUAAGUCUAUUCAUUUCCACAAUUAUUUUCACUAUACAAUUCCGUAAUAAUUCAAUCCCAACUAUCUAUAGAAUAGGGGUCCACUUGUAUGUAGGCCCUAUGCACCCCCUAAGCAUGGAUAGCUUGAUGAUAUGGACCCACUGCUAAAUAGUGAUGCACUGUUAUCAUUGUGAUGAUAAAUCUUAGUGACCAUUCCAUAGUCGCACUACUACAAGUGCCUGAGUAUCUAAGAGCAAUAUAUACGACCGAGUGAAUCUGUAGUGGCAGCCGAAGUGCCAAUGGGUGAUAAGGUGAGCUUUUCACCUUUUCUUGGGUAAUCCUUCAAACAUGUCAAAGGAGAAGCUGGCAAAAGAUUAUGACAUCAAUAACAUAUUCAACAGGUUUUGGAAAAGCUUUUUAUUUUUUUUUAUUUGAAAAGCAAUUUAUUAAGCCACAAUAACCAGCAAUGCCAUUGCAAGUCUAUUACUUGAUAGCAUAGACUUCCUAUGGCAUAAAACAUCUGGCAUGGGCAAAAGAGCAGUACAUUAACAUAACCAAACACCACUCCAUAAGGGGGUGGCGGCACACAAAGACAAAAUGAGCUCAAAGAAAAACAAAAGUAGCACAAGCAAACCUAUACAAAAUAAUAACCAAAUAUUAUUUUGUUAGUGAUUGCAAGUACAAAUCUGAUUUAAAGAUAUAUUAUCAAAUAUUUAGUGUUUGAUUAUUUGUUCCAUUUCUUGACAAUUGAUCAAUGAUGAUUCAUUAAGCUGCAAAUUAUUAUAAGUAAAGAAACUUGGGAAUCGAAAGAAAAUAAAAAAUAGUUGCAAUAAAUGAUACCAUUUGUGAAGAAGUUGAUGGCCUGUCAUUUAAGGUUGAAGUUGCUGGCCUAGGAAACCUCAUUCAUAAUUGUGAGAUCAACAAGUUAACUUGCUGCAAAAUUUCUGAUUUGAUCAUUGGAACUUGCUUUGUCAUCUCAAUCUUAAUAGAUUGUACUUGCUGCUGCUACUUUUUUUGCAUCUCCUCUUCUAAUUUAUCUUUCACUUCUUUCAUCUCAUCCAUAGCAACUCUUCUAGCAUUUUCAACCAUUCUUUGGGCAUCCAUGGAAUCAAAUGUAGGUGGUUUAUUCUUUAGAUCUGAAGCAGUCACACCUCUUCCGCAAAGAGACACAUGGCCAGCUUUGUCGUGCCCCAUUACAUGAGCAAAGAUUUCAUUUUGAACUUCAAGAUCCUUAUAAUUCUCUAAAUUUUAAGAAAUUUGCGCUUAUAUUCAAACUAAAAUUAAACAUAAAUAAUUAUAAUUAAAUUAUUCAUGUUUAUAUGAUCUUUCUACAUCGUAUCAAUAUAAAGUUUGUAGUCAUACCGAAAUUCUCAUGCUUUCCUCAUCCAAUUCUCCAUUCUUGUGUUUAUGUGCCAAAAGAAACAUAUCAGCUUGGGAUAUUUCCUCUAUGUUUCCCUUAUUAGCUUUCUGUAUUAAUAAAAAAUAAAAUAAAUUACUAACAAAAUAACCUACAAGUUAACAACAUCAUAAAUAAGAAAUACUUGGUAUAAUGGAAGAGAAGGGGAAAGAUGUAAAGGAAAAUAAAAUAACAUAAAAUAAAAUACUUCAUAACUGAUAGUAGUGAAGGUCGGAUGCUAUUUGCUAAAGUUAGAGACCUUUAAACUAGUAGCCACUUGUAGACACCCUUUUUUUAUAUAUAUAAUAUAAAAAUAAUAAUAAAAAAUAAAAAAUUUAAAAAAAUUUAAAAGAAAAAAUAGAAAGGCCUCCAUUGUCAAACUGCCUUCAAAUGAUUCAAUGCUCUCUGAGGCAGCUGAUCUGGGGGUCACCUCCCAGCGAUUUUCUUUGAUUUGAAGGCCACCCAUCCUGAAAUCAUGAUGAGAAGACAUGAUUGCCUUGGACAAUUGGGUUCUAUAAGAACCCUAAAACUCUAGUUCAAAAGGGGGGAUGGAGGAACAAAAAAUAGAACUUUUUGGGAGAUUUUUAGAAAGCCAGAAAAACGUUUUCAACACAAAAAAAAACCGAACUUUUCAGAAACCAAAAAACCAGAUUCAAACAAAAUAAAAAAGAUCAAAUCUUUCAAAAAAAACCAAAAAAAAUCACAAAACCCAAAUGUCCUAGUUUUCUAGCAGCAGACUACCCUAGCCACAAUAAAAGAAAAAUCAAACAUCACAACAAACAAAACAAAAAAAAAAGGAAAAAAUUGGUCAAAUUUGGAAAAUGAGUGAGAGGUGGGUUUGGGUAUAAAGAAAAGAGUGGAAUUUUCUUCUUCUUUUUUUGUGGGUAAAGUGAGGAUUGAAAGGGGAAGGUCGUCGGCAGAAAAAGAAGAAAGAAAUAAGAGAGGGAGAGAAAGGAAAAGGCACCGGCGGUGAUAGAAGAUGCCAGCGAGGGAGAAAGAGGAAGAGAGAAAAGAAAAGAAAAGAAAAAGAGAGAAGAAGAAAGAAAGAAGAAGAGGUGAGUGGGUAGAGAGAAGGCAAAGUAUCUGCUGCUAGAGAGAGAAUGAGGGGAGAAAAUGAAGGGAGGAAGAAGAAAGAGAGAUUUUAUAGUUAGGUAUAAGAACCAAAUGAUGCCUUUUUGGUGAAGAAGUGUAGGCAACCUAAGGAGCUUGAAACGGUGCCGUUUGGGAGAUGAAGGAGCUGAGUACUUGGAAUAGGAUUUCGGGCUUUUGGGCUCCAAUAUUUUACUUGGGUCACCAUAUGGGCCCAAGCUAGGUAAGGAAAAAAAAUACUCUUUUUUAUGGGCUUAUUGUGCUUUCGGUUGAUUGGGUCGAAUAUGUGAUUUGAUGAUGUAAAAUUAAGUUGAAUUAUUUAGUAUAAUGUCUCAAAAAUUUUAGAUAAUAGUUUAAAAUAUAAAAAUUAGUGUUAGCAAAAAAAAAUAUAAAGGUGAAUGCUAAUAGUGAAAAUAGUAUAAAAUGUUCUGAAUAGUUUGUUAGUCAUAAAAAAAUUAGGAUUUAGAAGAAUAUAUAUAUAUAUAUAUAUAAUAAGUAAAUAAAUAGUAAGAAAAUCAAUAGUAUAUUUAGUUUAGUUAAAAUAAUAAUAAUAAUAAUAAUAAGCGAAUGAGAUGAACAAGAAAAAAAAAGUGGAAAGAAAGAAAUAUUUAUAUUAUAAAUAUAUUUAGAUACUUGUAAAUAUAAUAAAUAUAUAUAUAUAAAAUGCAUGAUACAAAUAUAAAAUUAUAAGAAAAAUGAGAUGAUUAUUUGACAGAUUCCACCUAAGAAGGGCAAAGAGUUGCCUCUUUCGGGUGGAUUUCUUAAGUGCAGAGUUCGAGACGGAUUUUCACCGAAGCAUCGGGAUAAAUCCGAACUCUAUACUCCAAUGCCCAUUAGUCCGAAUAAUUGUUGUUUAAAAUAAUAUACAUAAGAAAAAAAAAACAAAUAAUAAUAAUAAAUAUAUAAAUAAGGCAAUAAAUCACCCUAAAUUAUUAAACAUAUUAUUAUAUGAAUUACGAACCAAUUAAAUUAAUAAACGCGGUCAUGUAGACAUCAUCAUUUUAUACUGUCAUAGCAUGCCAAAUUUAUCUUGUUAAUAGGGCAGGAAUUCCGAUGAUGGGAUUUCCUCGAAGAGCUCAUAGAGACGAGUCUUUCCUAAGAUAUCCUUAGGUGAGGAAAACUUUGAGACUUCACCAAAGCAUUGGGAUGGUCUACAAAUGAUUUUUCAAAAAAAGAUUGCCGACCUCAUCAGUUAAAAUUGGACAAAUCAUAACAGUAUUUUACGACUACAUCACAUGCAUCCGUGAAACCGACUAAAAGAUUCAAUUAGAUAACAUAAUAAAGAAUUAAUUAAUAAUAAGGAUUAAGGAAACAUAGGAAUAAAAUCAAGGUAGGCUACAAUAGGAUAACUUAAGAUUAAAUGGUACCGUUCAUGGAACAGGCGUCACGGAGGUGCUAACCCUUCUCUGUGCAUAACCGCACUCCCAAACCUAUCUGUGCAUAACCGCACUCCCGAACCUAUCUCUGAAAAACAUCGACCAGUUCUCGUUCUGUCAACAAACCUAAAAUUAAUUUAGGACUUCGUUGAUUAGAAUCGGGUUAAUAGGUGGCCAAUCACACCUAAAUAAAAAAAAAUUGGUGGCGACUCCAAGAUAUAUUAUUUUAGGCCAGUCUAGCAGUCGGGUUCCUAGACCCGACAUGUUACAACAGCUUGGUGACUCCACUGGAGACACCAAAGAGUCAAGCCAUAAUUAAUCGUAGGUUAUCUUGAGCCAUAAAUAAUUUAGUAUUUCCUUUAAAUUUGAAUAUUUGUUUUUUAUGCAUUAUGAUUUUGUGCAUUAAUUGUUUUAUAAUUAUUAUUUUAUUAUUUUUUAAAUUGUGAGAAAUUUAGGAUAAAGGGAUGUGAGAUUGUUCAUCAAAGGUUGGUACAUUCCUUCACACACACGACACAUGUUGCAUUCAUGCAUAAGCCUUCUACCCGGGCUUUGUCCCUUAUUAAAAGGGAGUUUAGUAGCUACACUCUCGUGAAGUGAUAACCUCCGCAUGGGCUAGUGAACAUUCCCACUCAAAUUGAACCUAGUUCGUUCAAAGCCUAUAAUGGGUGAGGAUCGAGAUGCCUUACUAGUCCGAGUGGACAACAGUGAGAAACGAUUUGGGAACCUUUAGCCUCAUUCAAAACCAAACUCAACAUAUAGAAAGCCGUGAGGAGCCAUCCCAUAGGCAGAACCUUACCGAACUUGUCAUGAGGAGUACACCCUAAUUUAGGACACGUGAAGGAACAAAUCUAUUAUAAUAGCCUUUUUUGAUAAAAUAAAAAUAAUAGGUGUCAAACUGAUUUUCUAAAAAAAAAACAAAAAAAAAACAAGGAAUUUCUCUCUUUUUCCAUCUUAGAAAAAGAAAAGAGUAAGAUUUCUUAUAUUCAUUAUUUUUAGAAUACUUUUCUCUACACUUUUUGUUUAAACAUCUCAGAAGAAUAGCUUUUUCUAUUUUCUCGUAAAAAUAAAGGAUAAACAUGAAAAAGAGGGAGGAUUGUUUUUUCUUUCAUGAAAAAAAGUAAAUAAAAACAUAAAGAAAGGAAACAAAAAAGAGAAGUAUUUCCUUUGAGUGAGGUCUUCUCAAAAAAAAAAAAAAAGAUGUCUUUAGUUCCUUUUGUCCAUAAAAAUGAAAAAAAAAAAAGGAGAGAAAAGCUUCUUCUCUUACAAAAAAGAUGAAAUGAGAGAAACUGAUACUUCUUGUGAAACAGAAAAGAAAAAAAGUGGUUUCCCAUUUAGGCAAAAAGAAGAGAAAACAUAAAAAAAGUUUUUUAUUUCUUCCAUUUUUUUGAAAAAAACCACAAAAAGAGAGAUUUUAGUUUUAAAUAAAAUUUUCUACCUCCCAUUAUACAUGAUUUCCAAUAAUGUGGCCUUCCAUUUCAUUGCAUACCAUCCAUGCAUCAAGGCAUCAUAGCAUAUCAUGCAUCAUAUUUUCAUCUACAUGCAUCAUAUUUUCAUCUACAUGCAAUCAUUUCAUGUUUGUUCUAAUAAAGAAGAACCUUACAGUGUUGAUUAGCUUUGUAGGAAAGAGAAUAAAUCACUUUUUGAAAAUUUUUUAGUAAAGUUCCAAGUUUUUUGUUUCUAAUUUAUUUUGGUUUGGGUCAAAAGGAUUGAACAAUAUGGAACACUAAUUGGAAGUAAGGAUAAGUGCAUUGGAACGCAAUCAAGAAGAAUUUGGACAUGACCUUUGAGAAAUGAAAAGACAAAUGGCCAAAUUGAUGGAAAUGGUUGAAAGUCUCAAUGGAGCCAAAGGAAAGCAUCCCCAAGAAUCCCCAUCACUUCAAAUCGAACCACACCAAGAGCAAUCACUGAAUAAAAAUCAAUUUGUCAUUGAUAAAACCAACACAUUGCUCAGUGGCUCAAGUAAGGAUCAAGGUUUAGAAAAAAUUGCAAAAGGGAUGGAUGAAUUGAAUACACAAAUGAUUGAGUUGAAAAGUUUCAUGACCAAUAUGGGAUCUGCAGACGCUACUCAACCCCCGAAGAAUAGGUUGCAACCAAGGUCAUAUUCUUCACCCACCACUUUUCAACCCGUAAAAAUCAAUUUGCAGCCAAAUUCUUACUCUUGUCCAAGCACUUUUCGACCUCCCUUUCAACAAGCCUUUCAAAGCCAACCAUGGGCACAAUUAUCAAUCACCGCUACUCCUAACCUAGGCACCCCUUAAAAACAAUCCAAAAAUAAAAAAAACAAUUUGACCUUAUGCCCGUCGCCUAUAAAGAACUUUUUUAUCAAUUAGUUCAUGAUCAUUUUAUUGUCUCGGUGCCUUUGGAACCCUUGCGGCCUCUAUACCCAAAGUGGUUCAAUUCAGACGCAAGAUGUGAUUAUCAUAGUGGAGCUAUAGGACAUUCGAUCGAAGAUUGUGAUUCUUUCAAGUAUCGAGUGCAAACAUUAAUAGAUGCCAAAUGGUUCGAUCCAGUAAAGAUGAUGGGGCAUGGUUGUGGGGAGUACAAUUAAGGGUUGACUGUGCUGAUUUUUUAGAAAAGUUUUCUUUAAGAACUUAGGACAUUUUAAUCUUUGACUUUUUUUGAAUCGUGUAAGAAUAGGUUCAUGUUUGUGAAGAAUUAUGUUGACUUUUGAGGUUUAUUCAACAUUUUCGUAAAUGUUGUUUUAUAAAAAAAAACCAUAAAAAAAAGGAAAAAGAGAGUUUGCAUGAAAUAAUCAAGUGCCUUUGUGCUUUAAAUCACUCAUCAUAAAUUUAAUCAUCCCAUCAUGCAUUCAAGCAUCCUUCGACUUUGACAUACAUGCACUCAUCAUUCAUCUUUCUUUGUCGCAAGUAGCAUCACUAGAUUGUUGUUGAUUUUCACAAAUAAAAAAGUUUUUCUAAUUAUAUAUUAAAGAAAAAAAACUCGAGGGAGCCCACUUACAAUUGGCACAAUACAGGGGCUCAAGCUAGAAUCAUGGGAGAUGAAUAAUCAAAUUUGAUAAACAAGAUGGAGAAAACAUAAGAAAAGAUGAGAAAACGAUUUGCAAAGAUAAUGGAGAGAGCGAAUGCUGAUGAACGGAGAGGGACUGUUGAAGGAUCUUCAAGUUUGCAAGGACUAAGCCAAUCAUCAACGCAAAGGCAAACUAUGCAAAUUUCAAGGGUAAAUUUUUCUAACCAGGUUCCUAUACUUGACUUGAAUGACUUUAAGGAACAAGGAAAAUUGAAAGUGGACUUCUCAAGAUCGAGAGAAAAAUCGAGAAUGCAACAAAAGUAUGAUCUUUUAGAAGAGCACUUCGAAGCCAUAGAGGGAAUGGAUCUCUAUGAUUCUAUUAAGGCAUGGGAAUUAAGUCUGGUGCCUAAUGUGGUUAUCCCACCUAAGUUUAAAGUCCCACAGUUUGAAAAGUAUGAUGGAACCAAAUGCCCUAAGGCACAUUUAAUCAUGUAUUGCAACAAGAUGGCUUCAUAUGCCCAUGAUGAGAAGUUGCUCAUUCAUUUUUUUCAAAAUAGUUUGGAAGGAGCUACGGUUAAAUGGUACUAUAAAUUGGAAAAAGAUUGUAUUUGCACAUGGAGAGAUUUAGCCCUAGCAUUUUUAGGACAAUACAUGCAUAGGCUGGAAGCAAUUCCUGAUAGAAUAACCCUCCAAAACAUGGAAAAAAACCCUUCUAAAAGUUUCAAGGUGUAUGAAUGGAAGGAAGUAGCAUCACAAGUCCAACCACCCCUUACUAGUAAAGAAUUAAAUUCUCUAUUUGUUGAUACUCUUCCUCUUCCAUAUUAUAACAAAUUGGUGGGUAACGCUUCUUCGGAUUUCGCGGAUUUGGUGUUCUUAGUGGGAAGGAUUGAAGAUGGAAUAAAAAAGGGAAGGAUUACAGACUCUCGUGCAAAUGAUCUUGUCAAAAGAGAAUAUGAUGCUUUUGAUAAAGGAGUUCAAGCAAUGACUUUUGAAAGAAGAAACAAGAGGAAAUUUUGUGACAUAGAAGGAGAUUUUAUGGGUGUUCAUUCACACCCAUCACCACAUGUCCAUAAUCUACCUCAACCUUUCAUUUCUUGCAUGCAGUCAUCACUUACACAGGCUCCUCUACCUUACAUGUCCACUUCAGGGGACCAAGAAAUUAAUCUGGAUUGCCUUCAAAGCAACAAGAGAAAGAAAGCUAAAGUGUACCAUUCAUUACCAAUGUCUUAUGCAGAGUUUUUUUCUUUAUUGGUACAAAACCAUAAGAUCUCCAUUAUUCUUGUCAAGCCUAAGAAACCUCCUUACCCAAGAUGGUAUAACCCAAAUGUUAAAUGUGAUUACCAUUCUAGGGUAUAAGGUCAUUCCACAGAGAAUUGCAUUGCAUUCAAGAACAAAGUUCAAGCUUUAAUCGAUGCAGACCCAACUAAAUUCAAAGAACUUGUCAACAAAUCAAGGGUGAUGGAUGCAAGGCAUGGGUUUUGGAACAAUUGAGUGGUAUGCCAAUUUGGGGGCAAUCCUUGAUCAUUUUCUAGUCGUGUACAUGUUUUAAGGGUAGAAACUUUUGGGAAUAUGGAUUUUUGUCUUUCAUGCAUGAUCAUGUAAUUUGAGAUGAGUGAUCGUUUAGUUUUCGUCAUCACAUGCUGUCAUGAGUUGAAUUGAGUUUGAAAAUUGCUCAAAUUUCUUUUGGUUCUUAUUUAUUUAUUUUUCUUUCUAAAAGUAAAAAAAAGAGUUCUUUGAAUGUUAGCAAUUUUAAAAAUAAAGCCCCAUACUACUUGUUUCCAAAAUCAUAAAUGAAAAAAAAAAGGUUCUUAUAAAAUAAAUGGUGAAAAGAAUCUUGAAAGAAUUGGUGGUUGCUAUUUGCAAAUGAACUAAUUUUCAUAAACAUUCUCAAACCAUACUUUCAAACACUCUCAAUGCCUUAACCAAGUGAAUAAAGGCCAUUCAAGAACCUAAAUCCAAAGGGAAGCAAAAGCUCUGAAACUUCGUCAAUCUCAUCAUUUGACAUCUAAGGACGAUGGUCUUUGUCUAAGUAAUGAUCAAUGUUGUGACAAGGUAAAAUUCAUUUUUUUCAAAAAUAAAGAAAACCUUGCACUCUUGGAAAGAAUCAGAAUUUGGUAAUUUGAUAAGUGUCAAGACUAGCCAGAGCUUCAAAUACAUAGAAACCACUCAACCUCUUUCAAUUGGAUCCAAAGUGUGAGCUUUGCCACCCAUUGCCUAAAGUUAUCCUUCAUCCAUACCAUGGGGCAAGAUGAUUAGAAAAAAAAAAAUUUCUCAAUACCUCUAAGACACCCAAUGUUAAACCCUAUUCUAUAAAAUAAUUACGACGUCAUUUACAUACUCAAUAAAAUAUUUGCAUGUUUAGGAAGUUCAAGGAAUCGUUAAAAGAUGAUAUUGCCCCUAAUGGUACCAUUAAGUCGAUUAAGCCUCAAACUACUUCAAAUAGGAAUUUUAAGGUGAAAUUAAGAGUUUCACAGCUCAGGGAUGUCUCAAAAUGGUAAUUCAGAGUUCGAGGAUCAAUUUGGAGUCAAACUGAAAUUUUCACUAUCCAGGGGCAAAAUGGUCAUUUGUCAUUUGGGGACAAAAUGGAAAUUUUAAGAAAAGAUUUUUUGGCCCCAUUUGACUUAUUGGAGUAUGAUUUGAGUAAUUGAAGUAUGAUUUGAGGUUUAGAAGUGAAAAUUUUUAAUUUCGGUAUAAUUUGGAGUAUAGGGGCGAAAUGGUAAUUUUGCCACUCUAGGGGUAAAUCGGUAAAUUUUCACCUUGACAUUUGUCAAGACCAAGGGAUUUUAUUCAUCAUGGAAAUGGAUAAACAUGAGAAAUGUGUGGUGGAGAAUUAAAGAAUUAAAAGUCAAAUAUUUAAAAUUUGAACGAAUAAGGAAAUGCCAUGUGUCAUAUUUUUAUUAUUUUAUUAUUUCUUUAUAAAAAGGCAAAAAAUCAGCCCAUUUCUCCCAUAGUGAUCAGCCAAACCAGAAGAGAAGAGAAACCAAGGAAGAACAAACCCUAGGUGGGAAAAAUCAAAGAGAAAGUGUUGGAAUUCAAGGAUUUGAUCAAGCAAAGGUAAAAUUUCUUUGAUUUUGCAAGUGAUUUACCUUACCCAUGCAUUUUUCCUUAAUUUCCAUAGUUAAAUUACAUGUUUUCAUGAUGAAUUCAUGACUGGUCAAAAUGGGUAUGGAGAGAGAAUGAUCUUGGAUUGGUUUGAUUUUUAGGUAUGUUGGUGUUUUUAGGUGAUUAAUGAUGUGUAGCAUGAAAACAAGUGAAGAAAACCACCAAAGGCUUGGUGCCCAUCAAUAGCCGAAUUCUCUAAGUGAAUAAUGAGGAAGAAUGGGAUGUAAUUCUAGGUGAUUUGAUUAAGAAAUAAUAGUUUUUGGUGUAGGAAUUAAUGAAUUAUGGAGAGAAAAUUAAAUAGGAAAAAUCACGGAGUUAGUGUACUAUUGUUGGUCGAAAGUUCCAAGAAAAACAGUGAAGAUAAAUUUUGCCUAAUUGUGUGUUAAUCAGUUGUUCUUGGUGAAUUGAGGGAUUGGAAAAGAAAUGUAGCAAGUUGGAGUGAAAUUGGACGCAUUGGCCAAUUUAUUAGAUGAAAAAUCGACUUAGGCCAAUACCGGGUCUAAAUGGCUACCUGUGCAUUUUUCAUUUCAUAUCAUGCAUAUAUAUCGAGCCUGAAAUAGCUUAUGACUGUUAGACACAAUUUAAUUGGAAUAUGUGUCAUGGAUUAUGGUUAGGUGGUGAGCCAUUGGAUACGGGUAAAGGACUAUACCCGCGGACUGAAAAUAGGAGUAUUUCUACUCCUAAUAUUGUGAGUGAACUUAUUAUCGUCUUAAUUAUCUAGAGUAGUUUUAUACAAUUGUGUGAUUUUAUAAAAAAUGGGUUAAAUGGUAAAUUGCUAUGUUUUAGGAGAAAUUGUGAUUUUAUAAAAUAAUUUUAUAAAUUUUCUGGAAAAUUAAAUACUGGUUUUGAAAAUAGAGUAAUUGGAGAAUGCCUGUUUAUGUUAUAAAUUGUGUUUUAAAUUAUAUGGCUUAUAACAAUAUGUGGGCAUGAAUGGCAAAGUCGGUAUUUGUAUCAAAAUUAUAUAUACUAUGUAUUCAGCCUUGAGAGGCUAGAUUGUGAUAAAUUGCCAUGUCAUGCAGAUAAGGAUUUUAUAAAUCAAGUGGUAGAUAAAAUAAAGAUUAGCUACUACAGUGGCGGGGUUUUGUGGACCAACCUAUUAGAGGGGCACGGUAAACUCUUUUAUAUUCUCACCUCGGUAUUUUGGUGAGGUUUCAAAGAGAUGAAGGGAUAGAGCCUGUGAAAUCACAAAAAGAAAGGUCAAGUUCUUCCAUUUCAAGAUUUCUAAUUGAGUCUGGUAACUCCUCUGAGAAACUUGCUCUUGCAAGGGAGAUAACCAGUGAGAUUAGGAUUACGGGUUAAUAUGAUUUUUUCUAGAUAUGGAAAGCAGAAAAUUUCACUUGGAAAUUCCCCUUGCUGUAAACCUUUGACUUUAAUAUGAUCAAAUGUUUCCACAUUAAGAAAAGUUAUUAAAUCAACAUCUCAAUGGUGACAGAAGCACUAGAACAAGGUGUAAAAUAGUAGUUUGUGCAGAAAGGCAAAUCAGAGAAGGUUUUGGUGCAAGACGGACUAUAUAGAAUACUUGCCGGUUAUGAAUAAGAACAUUGUUCACAAGCUUAUUAGGCUUAGUUUGUAGGUAACAUUUAGUUUCGGGAGUACAUUAUACAAGUGAAAACAAAGAUUUGCACAAUGAACAUUAGUUUGCAGGCUUCAAACUUUUAUUUAGGAACUAAUUAAGUGAGGUGGUCUGGCCGUCUCCAAGGCCUGCAAUGCCACCAUAUUGCCACAAUGUAAGCAAUAAGAUUAGCCUGGAUUGUUAUAGUAACAUAUUUGGAUCCUCUUCAUUACGAACCAGCAAUUAUACAGCAAUUAUAGAAUCAAUGUGGUUUGCAACCCACCUCUUCACAGUCAAGAGUCCAUUCCAGGAGCUGUCGCUUAGAUUAUUUGCAGCAAUGAGUCAUUUGGAAAAUUUCCAUAACAAAACUCAUUGUUCUCAAGAAAAGAUACAUAGAAACCUCUAGGAGAAGGCCUAUAAACAUUUUGAGAUAUUUUGAAUGGCUUUUGAUUAUAAAUGUGCCAUGCACAAAAGAAGUAGGGGUGAACAGAAAAGAAGCCAUGAUUAAUGGUGGCUAGCUAGCAGCUUUGCUUGUUUAAUAUGCAUUAAAGAAAAAUGUUGGAGUUAAAAUUUAAAACCAAUGCUGAAAACUUUGUUAAAAAUUUAGCACAUAGCUAUCUCAGCAUUUCAGUUUUACCUUGAAAACAAAAAGUUAAAUAAUUAAUAAAAACUGGUUAGCAUAUGCAGGCCGAAAAAUUGACUUGUAAGCUAAUAGUAGUGUAAUAAAAGAAUGAUGAAAAUCCAAAACUAUUGUGCAUCUAAUUAAUUUCUUCCCUCAAAUUUUCUUUAAACGAUUUGAAAAAUAAACUUAAAAGGAAAAAUAUAGCUUCCUUAAUCAAUUUAGAUAACCUGAGUAGACACAACAUGAAUUUCCUUAUUAUCUUUCUUAUAUAUCAGAAGUUGCUGUAGCAGAAACUAAGGUUUACUUUAACGUGUAGUUGUGAAGAUAAACAGAGAUCAAACUAUUAUGAAUACAUUGUCUUAUUGUGCUCUAUUCCAAUUUCUGUGUAAUUAUUUGAAAUUUUCGAGAACUUUGAGAUAACUUAAAUCAGAAUCAACCAUCACUUGCUUAAUCAAAUCAUCACCUUAAUUUCUCACCAUUUAAACCCCAAUUUCAUGACCCUCCAUCACCUACUUUUAUGUUAUGUAAUGUGUGGUGAGCAGGCCUAAGGCCCAAAGACAUAUGGAGUCCUAUCAGAAUGUUCGUAUGUGACUUCAAGAAUAGAUAUUCCAUCUGUCCCAAAAAGGAGAGGCUAUAUAUUCCCUAACAAUUGUCAGCUGUCAAGGAAGGAUACCAACCGUACGACUCUCUCUCCUUUCUCUCUCAUAUCCUCUCCCUCUCUUUUCUGUCCUUCUCUUCCCCCUUUGGUGAGUUCUUACUCACUUAUAAAGCAUCAGAAAAGGAAUCACAAGAAAACCUCUGAUGUCCCAUUUUUGUGCAGGCCCAGACGCAUCAUCUCAACCCAGAUCAUCCCAGUCCAUGUCCAACAACAUCAUGCAUUUACAAAGACAAAUCGAAAGUAAUCUAUGAUAUUUAUUUAUUCAUAUUGGUUGUUUCAAGACUAUGCAUCACCAAUAUUACAUGGAUAAUCAUAUUAAAAUAUUAUAAUUAAUUAACAAUGUAACAAGUAGAACCUAAUUGUGUCCUUAGUGUAGAAUUCACUAAAAGCUUGAGCUAUUACAAGUUAAUGAAAUACAUAAUUUAAAAAAAAAACACCUAAUUUUUGGACACCUAUAAAAGUUAAGUUAUAUUUGUAAAGUUAAGUUCAGAAAUGUAAGCAAUAUAAACUAAAUCUUAUAUCUCUAUUACUGUUUCUUUAGGAGAUUAUAUUUACAAAUAAAAAUUAUAAUUAAAUUAAAUAGCUUUGAUAUAUAUUAUAACAUAAAAUAAACUUUUAAAUAAACCAAAAGUUAUACACCCAUAAAAUAGAUCUAUAUAGUACAAUAAUAAAUUUAUUUGGACUGGAUUAUCAUAGCAUAACAUAAAACUAAAGACAGUUAUGAAAGUUCAAUAAAUUAAAGAUAACAUCUUAAAGCAACCAGCUUGCGAAGAAAAGAAAAUCAAGGCAGGUACUCACCUCCAAAAUAAAGAAAAAGGAAACAACCAAUUAUUGGGUAAAAUAAAAGCAUCUUCACUUUGAUACGUUGAACCUGCACUCAAACUUCAUUUUCUUGAUUUGGGAUUCAAAGGUAUCCAAUGGAAAUGUCAUCAACAUGAUGGUAUUUUCAUCAAGCCCUUUUGUUUGAAUCCUUCAAAAACUUGAUUUUGAUCUUCUUCAGCUUAGCAACAACGUUUUUCAUGUCAAUCCUCUCUUCUGGCAACUCUUCUGAACAUUCUAAUGCCAAUUGUAAAAUAGACAAUGCACAAUCCUUUAUUGCAAAAUGUUCUCGCUCCUUGCUACUGAUUAGCAAAUUGGCAUCUAUAACUUGGGUUAAUGCAAAUGGUAACAACUCAGUCAACCAAUGUUUUAAGCUCAUUUCUCCAACAAACAUUACAUUCGUGGGCUUCUUUCUUGUUAAGGUUUCAAUUAGAAGAAUACCAAAACUGUACAUGUCGCCUUUUACGGAAACAAUUCCUUGUGUUCCGUAUUCUACAUGUAAGUCAAUAAAACCAUCGUCAAAGUAUGCAAUGAUUUUACAUGAAUUAUCGUAAUAGAUAAAGAAAAAGUCUAAAGUUUAAGCAUUACCUGGUGCCAUAUACCCAAUUGUUGCUAGUGUUAGGGUUUGUACCGUUGAAUCCUCUUCACCUAACAGCUUUGCAAUGCCAAAAUCACCUAAAUGUGCAACCAUAUCUUCAUCUAAUAAAACAUUGCUUGGUUUUAAAUCACAAUGAGCCACAGGGAUGGUCUGACCAUGAUGGAGGUAUUCUAAUGCAGAUGCCACAUCAAUCAUAAUGUUCAACCUGUGCAAGAUAUCAAGAAAAUAGUUAUGAGAAUACAACCACUUCUCGAGGCUUCCACUAGGCAUGAAUUCAAGCACCAAGGCUUUAAAAUCAACAUUGCAGCAACUACUGAUGAUUUUGACUAAAUUCCGAUGGCGAAUGUUGCGCAAGACCUCACACUCAAUGUCAAAGCUCUUGAAUGAUCCUUCUACCUCCAAAUUAAAGACUUUUAUGGCAAUGUUCAAUCCAUCUGAAAGAGAACCUUGGUAUACCGAGCCAAAACUCCCUGCACCAAGUAGUUUGCUUUCACAAAAACCAUUUGUGGCUUGAUAAAGCUCUUGGUAUGAAAUUCUUCUCCACUUUGCUAAACCAAUCGAAUUUUCUCGAUCAAUAUUUUGCUUUGAAUGCUUUCUUCGACUUUGAAAGAAAAAGACAAUUAAGGCUAGAAUUAAUAGCGUUGAGCCAACUGGCAAUAGAAUAAAUUCUAUAAGCUUAGUAGCUUUCCUUGAAUGUUUAACAGAAUUUGUUUUGCACGGUGGGAGUUGCAGUCGAGGUACACCGCACAGCUCUUCAUUCCCCAUAAACAAUUGAAUUGAGUAGUUGGCAAAGGGUCCUCCAUUAGGAAUUUCUCCAUGUAGUCUAUUGAAUGAGACAUUCAAAUACUCGAGAUGCAAGAGUUUUUGCAAGGACUUUGGAAUAAUUCCAGAGAAAUUAUUCCUUGAUAGAUCCAAGAACUGCAACCCUGCCAGCCCACCAAAUAACUCAGGUAUAGAUCCUUGAAAUUUGUUACCAGAUAAUGAAAGAUAAGUUAGGUCUUCCAGAUCACCAAUGCUCACCGGUAUUUCACUUGACAAUUGAUUUUCGGAAAAAUCAAUAAUUGUAACAACCUUCCACUUUCCAAAGUCAAUUGGGAGAGCCCCACUAAGAAAAUUGGAAGACAAGUUUAGUUCCAAGAUAUCUAUAAGCCUUGUGAAGGUUGAGGGUAUUGAGUUUGCAAACUUAUUGGAGCCCAAAUAUAGAUGCCUAAGCGAAACGAGAUCGCCCAAGCAUUCUGGUAUUGGUCCAGCCAAUUUGUUACCUGCGAGAUACAAGAAGCCCAAACUCUUCAAACGGCAUAACUCAGAUGGAAUGGAUCCUUCUAAGUUAUUGUCUUCAAGAGAUAAACCUUGCAACUUUUCUAAUCUUCCAAUUGUGGUGGGAAUAGAUCCAAUCAAUUCAUUGUUAGCUAUGUUCAAGCUGAUCAAGUUGAUUAGUUUGCCAAUCUCUCCAGGAAUGUUGCCUCCAAUGUUGUUGUCCGAAGCAUCGAAUUUUUGUAGAGAAAUAGAGAGAUUUCCUACAGAGAUAGGAAGUUCACCAUCGAUCAAUGGAUUAUUACUAAAUUGCAAGAUUCUCAAGUCUUUGCAAUAUGCUAAAGAUGAGAGAAAGCUCAAUUCUGGGGAUGAAGGUGUGAGAGCCAAAUUAUUAAACUGUAGGUUGAGAAAUUGUAGAUCUCUUAGAUUUCCGAGGUCAUUGGGAAUAUAUCCAGAAAAUGAAUUAGCUGACAAGUCAAGCUCUGUAAACUUAGAGGCAUUAGAGAUGGAGGCAGGUAUUGUUCCAUUUAACUCAUUCAAACCAAGUAGAAGCACUUCAAGUUUUGGAAGCCAAAGUCUUGUGCUCCAUGGAAGACAACCUGAGAGAUGGUUUGAAUCGAGUGCAAUGAUCCUCAUAGUUGAGCUAUUAAAGAUACGAGGAGGGAUAUGUCCAGAGAUACUGUUAGAUUCAAAAUUCAAACUUUCCAAUUUUGGUAGGUUGCCUAUCUCAAGUGGUAUUCUACCUGCCACAAAAUCAGAAGAGUCAUUUGGAUUUGUUCCAGUGAUCUAGAAGUAAAUAACAAAAUUUAUCAUAAAAGUUUUAUGCACAUUUGUAUUUUUAUUUUUUAUAUUAUAAAUAUAUAUAACAAAUAGUGAAACAAAUAAAUUACUUUCAAAAGUGUUAGGUUAACAGUCCGUUGUAGAAUUCCACCUGAAUAAUGAAAUUGAUCUAUUAAUUAUUUUUAAAAUUAACAACAAAUUAUAUGGUCAAUUUGUUUGUCAAACAGAACAAUCAAAAUUAUAAAACGAAGUUUAGAAUUUAGAUAAUACAAGGCAAUAUACUCUUGCACUUUGUGGUUAAUUUAUUAUUUUCCUUUUCAAUUUAAAUAAUAUAAUGAAAAUAUAUUAGAAAAGUUGAAAAAAGAAAGAGCAUAGAUAAGUAGAUAGUAUAUUUGAAUUUUUGGUUAAAUGAUUCAUGAACAGAAUAGAAACAAAAUUCUUGAUUGUAAUAGAAAAAGGAAUUAAAAAAGGUGAAGCUCAAUGGGAAAAUUUAAUUUAAAUAAAAAAACAAUGAGAUUAAAUAAAGAGUGUGACACUAGUACCAAAAACCAGAAAAAUAUAGAAAAGAAAGAUGUGGAAAAUCUAGAUGAUAUCAUAAGCCCAAAAAGAGGUAAAAUAUAAACUAUCUGUUAUGAUUAUUAGUUGAUGUAACAUAAUUAGAGCAAUUAUUAUUUUUUAAUAAACAAUUUUACAUUUUUUCGUUUCACUGUAAAAUAAUAUAUAGUUUUUGUUUUCUAAAGUGUGUUUUCCUUAUCUUAACUUUACAUACCAAAAACAAAUAUUAAAAUAUACAUAAACUUAAAAAUGAUCACAGUGAAUUUAAUAGUAGAAGUAAUAAGUAAUUAAAAAGAAUUACUAAUUGUAAAUAUGUGAUAGUGUUAAAAACGUGAAACCCAAUAAAAAAAAUAGAAUAUUGUGAGAAAGAAAGGACUACAAAUAUGUUAUAAAUGCAUCCCAAUAUUUAUAUUUCUUUUACCUUUGAGGUUGUUGUCUCUAAGAUGCAGAAGCUUGAGCAUAGUCAAAUUUUCUAUUUCUUUCGGUAUUGUUCUCUCAAAAUGAUUAUAAAAUAAGAAUAAAUUUUUUAACUCUUGUCACUUGAAUAAAGUCAUUGAAAUUGAACCAUAAAUGUGGUUAAAACUCCAAUAUAAUCUUGCACUUUGAGAGAUGAUUUGUUAUAAUUUUUGGUUGAUGCAAUAUAAUCAUAGGAAAAUUUACAAAAUUUAAGGGCACUUUCAUCUUAUUUUGUCCAUUUGUGUGCCCAAGAGAAAAGGGAGGCAUGGAACUUUGAAAGAAAGGGAGGGACGGCGGAUAGGGCGGAGGAAUAGGGGGAGGGGGGUUGACAAGUCGGCGAAGAAGGGGAGGAGCAGAGGAGAGAUAGCAGGAAGAGUCAUACCAGUUUAGACAAGUUUAUUUAAAUAAUGUAUGAGUAGUGGAAAAUCACUCUUGACGAACUUUAAAUCUUAUACCUUACAUCUAAAAGAAAAAGGAUAAAAUAUACAUAAAUUAAAAACUAAUCAUAUUGAAUUUAAUAGAAGAUAUAAUAAGGAAUUAAAAGAAUUACAAGAUUGCAAAAGGUUGCAUUGUUAUAAGAAAAAACCAAUAAAAAAAAUAAUGGACUAGAAAUAUGUUAAAAAUGCGUCACAAUAUUUAUUUGGCUUUGUUUUCUUUAAUUAUUUAUUUGGAUUUGUUAAUAACAAAAUUAAAAAAUUAAUGAUAAAAAUUUUACACACAUUAGGAUUUAUAAAUAAUAUUAUUCAAAUAUUUACAACAGUUGCAGCUAUAUAGAAACUAAACAUACAUGAGAAAAAAAAUAACUUAUUACCUGUCAGUUUAUUAGAGGAAAUAUCAAUCUUUUCUAAAAACGUUAGGUUACCAAUUUGUUGUGGAAUUUCACCUGCAUAAUGAAAUUGAUCCCUUGAUUAUUUUCAAAUUGAACAACUUAUAGGGCCCACUUGUUUGUCACAUGGAACAAUCAAAAUUACUAAAGAAAGUUUAAAAUUUAAAUAAUACAAAGCAAUAUAAUUUAUAUAAUAUAAUAAAAAUAAAUUAGAAAAAAAUCUAAACCAUCAACAUAGAUAAGUAGAUAGUAUAUUUCAAUUUUUGGUUGAAUGAUUCAUGAAUAGAAUAGAAAUAAAAUUCUUGAUUGUAAACAAAAAAGGAAUUAAAAAAAGUGAAGAUCAAUGAAAAUUUUUUUGGAAAGUCAGAUGAUUAUAUUUCACUAGAAAAAGGGAUAAGGAUAUCCCAUUACAUCCUUUCAAAAAACCUGCAUUCAAAAAAGGGCUGCAGCGAGCUAGAAGCUAAACAAAAUAAGCAGCUCUAUUAUCAAUCUAUACAGCAACGGUACAAUGACAAAAAUUAAUUUAAAUAAAAACAAUGAGGUUAAAUAAAGAGUGUGACACUAUUACCAAAAACCAGAAAAAUAUAGAAAAGAAAGAUGUGGAAAAUACAGAUGAUAUCGCAAGCCUAAAAAGAGGUAAAAUAAACUAUUUGUAACGAUUAUUAGUUGGUGCAAUAUAAUUAGAGCAACUAUUAUUUUGUAAUAAAAAAAUUUACAUUUUUUCAUAACACCAUAAAAUAAUGUAUGGUGCAUGUUCACUAAAGGGUGUUUUCUUAAUCUUAACUUUACAUAUAUAAGAAAAAAGAUAAAAUAUACAAAAACUUAAAAGUGAUCGCAGUGAAUUUAAUAGAAAAAGUAAUAAAGAAUUAAAAGAAUUACUAGAUUGUUAUAAGAGCAAACCCAAUAAAAAAAGAAACUAAAAUAUUGUAGGCCCAAAAAGAGCAAUAAAAGAAAAAGGCUUUGCUAUCGUGAGAAAGAAAGGACUAGAAAUAUGCAAGAAAUGCAUUCUAAUAUUUAUUUUUCUUUUACCUUUGAGGUUGUUCUCUCCAAGAUAGAGGAUCUCGAGCAUAGCCAAAUUUCCUAUUUCUUUCGGUGUAGUUCCCUCGAAAUGAUUAUAAGAUAAGGAUAAAUAUUUUAACUCUUGACACGUGAAUAAACUUACUGGAAUUGGACCAGAAAGGUGGUUAACACUCAAGUAAAGCCCUUUUAAUUUAGGUAAACGAUCAAACAUAUCUGAUGAGAUAUGACUAGUGAGAUUAUUAAAUGUUAAAGCAAUAUGCUGCAAGGAAGACAUGUUGAGUGGGAUUGAAGGUAUGGAGCCAAUUAGUUGGUUUUGGGUGAGACUAAUCUUUACCAAUGAAGAUAUGCUGAAGACUGAGGGAGGUAUGGAGCCUGAAAGCUGAUUCUUGUCCAAAUAUAAAAUUCUCAACCUAGAAAGAUUUCCGAUCUCCAUGGGGAUAUGACCUUGCAGAUUGUUGUCAUACAAGCUCAAUAACUCUAGUUUUGACAAAAAGCACAAAGAAGACGGGAUAACUCCCACGAAGUUAUUACCGUCUAAACUCAAAUUUUGAAGUUUAGGAAAGGAACCAAACCAGGAUGGAAUUUCUCCGUUGAAAUUGUUGUUACUCAAUAGUAGAGAUUUCAACCGGCGCAAAUUAGCCAACUCGAUGGGCAACGAACCAUGAAAACUGUUGUUUGCAAUGUUGAGGAAAGCAACGAAAGACAGAUUUCCCAUGUCUGGUGGUAUGGUACCAGAGAGAUUCAUGCCAAAUAGAUCCAAAGCAAUGACUCUGUGGUGUCGAGAUCCGCAAGUGACACCAACCCAAUUGCAAAUAGAGGUAGCAGUUGACCAGUUGGUAGCCAGAAGAUCACUGUUG